UACGGAGGGUGCAAGCGUUGUUCGGAUUUAUUGGGCGUAAAGCGCGUGUAGGCGGUUUCUUAAGUCUGAUGUGAAAGCCCCUGGCUCAACUGGGGAAGUGCACCCGAAACUGAGUGGCUUGAGUACUAAAGAGGGAAGCGGAAUUCCCGGUGUAGUGGUGGAAUGCGUAGAUAUCGGGAGGAACACCAGUGGCGAAGGCGGCUUCCUGGACCGGUUCUGACACUGAGGAGCGAAAGCGUGGGGAGCGAUCCGG
rnacentral:rRNA from 1 species